rnacentral:rRNA from 1 species
AUUGAACGCUGGCGGCAGGCUUAACACAUGCAAGUCGAGCGGGGGAAGGUAGCUUGCUACCGGACCUAGCGGCGGACGGGUGAGUAAUGCUUAGGAAUCUGCCUAUUAGUGGGGGACAACAUCUCGAAAGAGAUGCUAAUACCGCAUACGUCCUACGGGAGAAAGCAGGGGAUCUUCGGACCUUGCGCUAAUAGAUGAGCCUAAGUCGGAUUAGCUAGUUGGUGGGGUAAAGGCCUACCAAGGCGACGAUCUGUAGCGGGUCUAAGAGGAUGAUCCGCCACACUGGGACUGAGACACGGCCCAGACUCCUACGGGAGGCAGCAGUGGGGAAUAUUGGACAGUGGGGGGAACCCUGAUCCAGCCAUGCCGCGUGUGUGAAGAAGGCCUUAUGGUUGUAAAGCACUUUAAGCGAGGAGGAGGCUACUUUAGUUAAUACCUAGAGAUAGUGGACGUUACUCGCAGAAUAAGCACCGGCUAACUCUGUGCCAGCAGCCGCAGUAA